rnacentral:lncRNA from 1 species
GGGAGCGGUGGCGGGGCUCGGUGGUGGCAGGGGGCUGGGGGCCGUGGCGGCGGGAACGGGCGGUGGCGGCAGACCCGCAGCCCGCCGGCCGGUCUCCCGAGGCCGCUCUGGACGCCGCCGGCGGUCGUAAGCAAGCUUUCCAGAGGCGGCAGGGCCGGCCCGGCCCGAGGCGCUGGAAAGGUACGGGCGCUGCCCCCGCCCGUCCACGGGAGGAGCUCCGCGCCGCGCCGCCCCCGCAGGGCUGGGAAGCGGACGCAGGGGCCGCGGGUCCGCCGUCCCUCCCGUCGCCGAAGCGGCGCUAAAAGGGGGCGGUGGGGGCGCGGCGGGGCCGGAGGAGCGAUCGGUCUCGCACCGAGCCGCUGUGGCCCGGCAGCGCGGGGAGCCCGUCCCGGCUCCGCGCCGCCGCUGCGCGGGCGGCGAGCGACGUGCACUUUGCAGACGGUCCCUGCGCCGCUCUCUGCAGCGCCGCGCAGGCGCCCGGCGCUGGGACGGCGGCCGCGGUGCGAGCGGGAGAGCGGCCGCGGCGGGGAGGAGCAUGGACGGGACGGUGAGCCUUGCCCCGGGUCCUGCCGCCCCCCGCCCCGGGCUUCCGCCCGCUCGGCCCUGCGGCGGCACUUGCCGUGGCUCUGCCCCGGGCACCUGCGGGAGCUCUGGCAGCGGGACGGCCCCGCCCGGGCACUGCCCCCCGUCGGUGGCAGCCCCAGGCACUGGCGCUGCCCCCCGCCCCGGCGCUGCCUGCGGGGUACGCCCGGCCGGGAGACGGGCAGAGUCCGGGCGACGGGCCCCGCGCCGCCGAUGUGCCGCCCGGCGGUGGCCCCCUCCUGCGGCGGUAGGCUCCCGCCGCUCGGCUCCCCGCGGAGCCGGAGGCUCGAACACCCCGACGGCUGGCGCGCCGCUCUCCCUGUUCUUCCCGUCGGACUCGACGUCCGCAGUUGCAGCCGCCCGGCCCCCACCGGGUGUCCCCCUGCGCCCCCGCAUCCGCCGAGCUGUGGUAGCUUUUGCGUCGCAGGGACCCAGCUGGCUUGGAGAAGCAGGCAGAGCGGGGAAGUGCAGUACUCCUUUACCACUCCCCAAAGUGGGCUGCAGGCCUGCUCGGGGCUGAAUAUCCCGAGGGAGGCACCAGCACUCAUCUGGAAUCACCCAGCCUGCCCUGGUAUGGUCCUCUGGAGAGGAGGGUCCUCUUCUUAA